CCCAACUUGACAAGCUCCACCAAAGUUGGAACCAGAAGGACGUCCGGUUUUCAUCUCUUAUACAGAAAGAAACUGCCAUUAGAAGUUCUCUGGUUUCUUUGGAACAGAAUCUGCAAUCUAUGAUCUCUCAUGAACAUGAUGAGGAACUACAUCUUUUCAGAAGCAGAGCUCUUAUGGCUGCACUAAUGCAGCCCUUCUCUGAGUUGGACGCAGUUGAUCGAGAAUUGUCGGUGCUUGGGGCACCUGUUGAAUCUGGUUCAACUAGGAUUUCUCACCUAAAAAAUUUAUUUAAUUCAGGAUGCCCGCUAUCUGAAUAUAUUUGGAAAUUUCCUGGCAUAUGGAGCAAUCAUGCCUUCUUUGUGUGGAAGGUUUAUAUAGUGGACUCUUUCCUUGAUUCCUGCACACAAAAUAUAGCUUUACAAGCUGAUCAAAGUUUGGGAUUUGAUCAACUUGUAAAUAUAGUGAAGAAAAAACUUGAAUCUCAGCUUCAAGAAAAUGUUGAGCAGUACUUGAAAGAGAAAGUUGCGCCUGUUUUAAUAACAAGGUUAGAUAAAGAAAGUGAAUAUUUGAAACAAGUGACAGAGUCAACAGAAGAUCUUACUUGUGAUCAAGGAAAUAACAACUUUGCAGCUGUAAGAAAUGUGCAAAUCAUGCUUGAGGAGUACUGCAAUGCACAUGAAACUGUCAGAGCAGCGAAAUCAGCUGCUUCCCUCAUGAAGAGGCAGGUGAGUGAGUUAAAGGAGGCUCUUCUUAAGACCAGCCUUGAAAUUGUUCAGAUUGAAUGGAUGCAUGAUAUAAAUGCUAAUAUUCUGCAAAAGAGAAGGCUGAUAUCUCAUAAAUAUCUUUCAAGUGAUGCUAGACUCCUUCCAGUUCUUCUAAACAUCAGCAGACCUCAAUUGCUUGAAAAUUUUCAAUCAUCGAUUGCAAAAAUAGCUAGAGCUCUAGAGGGCCUGCAAGCUUGUGAGAGAACUUCUGUCACAGCAGAAGGGCAGCUUGAGAGAGCUAUGAACUGGGCUUGUGGAGGUGCAAGUUCAACUUCUGCUGGAAAUGCUUUGGCAAGGAAUCCAGGAAUACCUCAGGAAUUCCAUGAUCAUCUAAUGAGGCGCCAACAGUUAAUAUGUGAAGUUCGAGAAAAG
rnacentral:lncRNA from 1 species